rnacentral:rRNA from 1 species
AACGAACGCUGGCGGCAUGCCUAACACAUGCAAGUCGAACGAGACCUUCGGGUCUAGUGGCGCACGGGUGCGUAACGCGUGGGAACCUGCCCUUAGGUUCGGCAUAACUCCCCGAAAGGGGUGCUAAUACCGGAUAAUGUCUUCGGACCAAAGAUUUAUCGCCUUUGGAUGGGCCCGCGUUGGAUUAGCUAGUUGGUAGGGUAAAAGCCUACCAAGGCGACGAUUCAUAGCUGGUCUGAGGGGAUGAUCAGCCACACUGCGACUGAGACACGGCCCAGACUCCUACGGGAGGCAGCAGUGGGGAAUAUUGGACAAUGGGCGAAAGCCUGAUCCAGCAAUGCCGCGUGAGUGAUGAAGGCCUUAGGGUUGUAAAGCGCUUUUACCCGGGAUGAUAAUGACAGUACCGGGAGAAUAAGCUCCGGCUAACUCCGUG